AUUGAACGCUGGCGGAAUGCUUUACACAUGCAAGUCGAACGGCAGCACGGACUUCGGUCUGGUGGCGAGUGGCGAACGGGUGAGUAACAUAUCGGAACGUAUCCAAUAGUGGGGGAUAACUAAUCGAAAGGUUGGCUAAUACCGCAUACGCCCUACGGGGGAAAGCAGGGGAUCUUCGGACCUUGCGUUAAUGGAGCGGCUGAUAUCUGAUUAGCUAGUUGGUGAGGUAAAGGCUCACCAAGGCGACGAUCAGUAGCUGGUCUGAGAGGACGACCAGCCACACUGGGACUGAGACACGGCCCAGACUCCUACGGGAGGCAGCAGUGGGGAAUUUUGGACAAUGGGCGCAAGCCUGAUCCAGCCAUUCCGCGUGCAGGACGAAGGCCCUCGGGUUGUAAACUGCUUUUGUCCAGAACGAAAAGGUUUCUACUAAUACUAGGAGCUCAUGACGGUACUGUAAGAAUAAGCACCGGCUAACUACGUGCCAGCCGCCGCAGUAA
rnacentral:rRNA from 1 species